rnacentral:misc_RNA from 1 species
UGGAAAGGGAAAACAUAGAUCAGAUCAUGAAUGCCAGAUAAUUCGUAACUUUGAAUUCUUUGCAAGCAAAUGCUAUGCAUAAAGCUGAUGAAAUCUAGAAAGUGGUAGAUUCCAUUUCCAAGGGUUGUCCUGUCCUGGCUCACCAAUAGGGUGCAUGAAGGAUGCUUCAUCUUUCAGCAACCCAGGCUGUUGAUCAAUUUGUAUGCAAUUUUGAGACUUCCUCAAUCCAUCCA